GUUUAUCAAAAACAUGUCUUUUUGUGAGUUUAUUUAAAGUCUAAUCUGCCCCCUGAAUUAUUUUAAAUGGCCGCAGUAUUUUAACUGUGCAAAGGUAGCAUAAUCAUUAGUCUUUUAAUUGAAGGCUGGAAUGAAUGAUUGAAUGAAAUAUAAAUUGUUUCAUAAGAAUUUAUAAUAGAAUUUUAUUUUUUAGUCAAAAAGCUAAAAUAAUAUUAAAAGACGAGAAGACCCUAUAAAUCUUUAUAUUUUAUUGGGGUGAUAUUAAAAUUUAUUAAACUUUUAAUUAAUAAUUUACAUUAAUUAAUGAUUUAUUGAUCCAUAAAUUAUGAUUAAAAAAUUUAGUUACUUUAGGGAUAACAGCGUAAUUUUUUUUGAGAGUUCAUAUUGAUAAAAAAGAUUGCGACCUCGAUGU
rnacentral:rRNA from 1 species